GGAGGAAAGUAGGGGAUCGCAAGACCUUGCGCUUUUGGAGUGGCCGAUGCCUGAUUAGCUAGUUGGUGGGGUAAGAGCCUACCAAGGCGACGAUCAGUAGUUGGUCUGAGAGGACGACCAGCCACACUGGGACUGAGACACGGCCCAGACUCCUACGGGAGGCAGCAGUGGGGAAUUUUGGACAAUGGGCGAAAGCCUGAUCCAGCAAUGCCGCGUGAGUGAAGAAGGCCUUCGGGUUGUAAAGCUCUUUCAGUCGAGAAGAAAAGGUCGCGACUAAUAAUCGCGACUCAUGACGGUAUCGACAGAAGAAGCACCGGCUAACCACGUGCCAGCAGCCGCGGUAAUACGUAGGGUGCGAGCGUUAAUCGGAAUUACUGGGCGUAAAGGGUGCGCAGGCGGCGUUGUAAGUCAGAUGUGAAAUCCCCGGGCUUAACCUGGGAAUUGCGUUUGAAACUACAAGGCUAGA
rnacentral:rRNA from 1 species